UUUAUAUUGUGAAACUGCGAAUGGCUCAUUAAAUCAGUUAUGAUCUACGUGACAAAUUCUUUACUACUUGGAUAACCGUGGUAAUUCUAGAGCUAAUACAUGCAAAAAAGCCCUGACUUACGAAGGGGUGCACUUAUUAGAUAAAACCAACGCGGGGUAAAACCUGUUUCUUGGUGAAUCAUAAUAAUUAAGCGGAUCGCAUAGCCUUGUGCUGGCGACGGUCCACUCGAUUUUCUGCCCUAUCAUGGUUGAGAUUGUAAGAUAGAGGCUUACAAUGCCUACAACGGGUAACGGGGAAUUAGGGUUCGAUUCCGGAGAGGGAGCCUGAGAAACGGCUACCACAUCCAAGGAAGGCAGCAGGCGCGCAAAUUACCCAAUCCCGACACGGGGAGGUAGUGACAAUACAUAACAAUGCAGGGCCUUUAAGGUCUUGCAAUUGGAAUGAGUACAAUUUAAAUCCCUUAACGAGGAUCAAUUGGAGGGCAAGUCUGGUGCCAGCAGCCGCGGUAAUUCCAGCUCCAAUAGCGUAUAUUAAAGUUGUUGCAGUUAAAACGUCCGUAGUCAAACUUUAGUCUUACUGGUGUAGUGGCCUGGUCUUCAUUGACCAAGCUCAUUGCUGCCAGAGACUCCAUGUUCAUUAAGGGAGAAUCUCUAGGGGUUCUUUUUUUAUUUGAACAAUUACCAUGAGCAAAUCAGAGUGUUUAAAGCAGGCUUUUAAGCUUGAAUGUGUUAGCAUGGAAUAAUGAAAUAUGACUCUAGUCCUAUUUUCGUUGGUUUAGGUACUUCAGUAAUGAUGAAUAGAAACGGUUAGGGGCAUUUGUAUUUGGUCGCUAGAGGUGAAAUUCUUGGAUUGACCGAAGACAAACUACUGCGAAAGCAUUUGACCCGGGACGUUUUCAUUGAUCAAGGUCUAAAGUUAAGGGAUCGAAGACGAUUAGAUACCGUCGUAGUCUUAACCACAAACUAUGCCGACUAGAGAUUGGGCGUGUUUAUUAUGACUCGCUCAGCAUCUUAGCGAAAGUAAAGUUUUUGGGUUCUUGGGGG
rnacentral:rRNA from 1 species